CCUUUCCUCCUCCUACCAGUGGUCCUUGAUUCUACUCCCCUUCCCUUAGCUCUUGAUGACUUUCCCAUUAUGAUACUGGAUGUGGGAAGGAGCCCCCUUCCUGGGGAGAGACAUGAAGUCACCUUUCUUCUUCACAAGCCUAAGAAUGAGGGAGCCUUUCCUGUCUGGCAACAAAGCAGAGCAGAUAUCUCUCAUGGGCCCCAUAUGAUCAUGGGCUCCCUGCGCUCCAAACUUAUGCCUCACCCAUCGGCUACAGUGUGUGAAGUCCUGCCAUCAGAGUCAGCCGAGGAAAAAACUGAGGAUCGGAGAGGCGAAAUUAUUUGUCCAAGGUCACCAAUCCACGAAAUGAAGAGGGGUAGAGAAGUAGAAUCAGAAUCCAAUUGAUCCAGCGUUCUUUCCACUACUGCACGAGUCUCUCUAACCUCAACUUCCUAUAAUUCUCAAGAAAUAAGUCUUUCUAACAACAAAAAAACAUGCUUCUCACCUCCUGAUGGAACAAUGAUGGACUCAGGAUGCAGAUUGAGACGUAUUUUUGGACAACGCCAAUAAAGAAUUUGUUCUGCCUGA